rnacentral:rRNA from 1 species
GACGAACGCUGGCGGCGUGCUUAACACAUGCAAGUCGAGCGGUAAGGCCCUUUCGGGGGUACACGAGCGGCGAACGGGUGAGUAACACGUGGGUGACCUGCCCUUAGCUCUGGGAUAAGCCUGGGAAACUGGGUCUAAUACCGGAUAUGACUCCAUGACGCAUGUUGUGGGGUGGAAAGCCUUGUGCGGCUAGGGAUGGGCCCGCGGCCUAUCAGCUUGUUGGUGGGGUGAUGGCCACCAAGGCGACGACGGGUAGCCGGCCUGAGAGGGCGACCGGCCACACUGGGACUGAGACACGGCCCAGACUCCUACGGGAGGCAGCAGUGGGGAAUCUUGCGCAAUGCGCGAAAGCGUGACGCAGCAACGCCGCGGU